CUCAGCACAUACGUUUUGCUUUACAAAAGCUAACGUCUCCUCCUUUCCCUCCUUCUCCCACUCAAAAAUCAAAAUUCAAGAAUUCAAUUCUACUCCCCCCUUUUCCCAAAUUAUCAUAUCAUCACUUGGUUUCUCUUCCAUUUUCACCAAACUGAGGAAAGCAGAGAAUUGGCCGGAAAAAUAAAGAACCCUCCGUCGGAUUCUUACGUCAUUGUACGGUGGAGUUUUCUGUUCAUUACGGGUGAUAAAGACUUUAGCAAGGUGUAAAUGCUUCAACAUGCAUAACCGCCAAAGUGACAAGCCUUUGCAUAUGGAAACAACUUGUGGUUCUCUUCUGUCUGAGAUGCAGAGAAUAUGGGAUGAGAUGGGAGAGCCAGAAAUUGAAAGAGAUAAGAUGCUUUUU